UACGGGGGGGGCAAGCGUUGUUCGGAAUUACUGGGCGUAAAGGGCUCGUAGGUGGCCAACUAAGUCAGACGUGAAAUCCCUCAGCUUAACUGGGGAACUGCGUCUGAUACUGGAUGGCUUGAGUUUGGGAGAGGGAUGCGGAAUUCCAGGUGUAGCGGUGAAAUUCGUAGAUAUUCGGAAGAACACCAGUGGCGAAGGCGACACACUGGCCCAUUACUGACGCUGAGGCUCGAAAGCGUGGGGAGCAAACAGG
rnacentral:rRNA from 1 species